GACGAACGCUGGCGGCGUGCUUAACACAUGCAAGUCGAACGAUGAAAGCGGAGCUUGCUCCGCUGGAUUAGUGGCGAACGGGUGAGUAACACGUGGGCAACCUGCCCCAGACUCCGGGAUAACUCCUCGAAAGAGGUGCUGAUACCGGAUACGAACUCCUUGGGCAUCCUUGGAGUUGGAAAGUUUUUCGGUCUGGGAUGGGCCCGCGGCCUAUCAGCUUGUUGGUGGGGUAGUGGCCCACCAAGGCGACGACGGGUAGCCGGCCUGAGAGGGCGACCGGCCACACUGGGACUGAGACACGGCCCAGACUCCUACGGGAGGCAGCAGUGGGGAAUAUUGCGCAAUGGGCGAAAGCCUGACGCAGCGACGCCGCGUGAGGGAUGACGGCCUUCGGGUUGUAAACCUCUUUCAGCAGGGAAGAAGCGAAAGUGACGGUGCCUGCAGAAGAAGCACCGGCUAACUACGUGCCAGCCGCCGCGGUAA
rnacentral:rRNA from 1 species